CAAAAUAUGUUACGUCAUCAUGGAAUAAAAAAGUUUUUUAGAUUUAAUAUUAUUUAUCUUUUAUUAAUUAAUUAGCACGCUAAAAUAUUGAUGAGAGUAUAGCUCAGUGGAUUAUGUUGUGGCCUUACAAUCAAACAAAUCGAGCUCGUAUCCUGUCUGAUACCAAUUUUUUUUAUAUCUGUUUUUUAUUUAUUUUUUGUCAUGCAUAGGAUCUGAAAUCCCUCUGCUCGGAUUAUUUUUGGGAGAACACUUAUCAAGUCACAAAACAGAUAUUUCAAGAGAUACUGACUAUGAUUAUUCAGAAGUGGAAAAAUGUGACACUUGCAACGACGGCACUGCGGGACCACGUACUUCUCGCACAAAAGACAUGCAUGCGCGGUGUUUAGUUGAUGCGGGAUUCGCACAUCUAAAGGCAUGAUUUAGAAACACUUCAACAGCUGGCCGAUGUAACAGAGAAGUCAUCUACAACAAACAGCCGGUAUGUUACCCCAAGCGGUCAUGGCGGCAAUGGAAACCUGUUCUUGGGGGAUUUUCAAACCAAUUAUUGGUAUAAGAUAGAAUAUCCUGCACUUCCGGUUCCAGUCGAACACACCGGGUGUGGUUAUGGCCAAAGUAACACCUGAAGGCGAGGAAUAUAAGAUUCAAGUCUUGAAAGAACACGGAUUCCGGUUCAGUUCAUGUGUCCGUCCGAGCGUUAUUACGCCAGUAGGAAUGUCAGCAGUGUCGCGAAGUGUGCGUGCGUUCGUCAGUCAAGACAGUUAAUCAUAUUAUCAGUGCACUGUUACAACAGCUUAGUGCAGAUUUAAAUAGUCUGGCUGUUUGAUGGAUGUUAACAACACGAAAUGAAUAACUUCAAAUAUAUUUACGAGGCAGAAAAGUUCAAUGUUUCUAUUUAAAUAUCAAUUGUUGUUAAAGCACGGCCAUUGUUUCUGUUAUAAAGAAAAAUAGAACUUAUUAUUACUGUCUAUGUUUUUUAUAAACGUUAAACGUAGACUUAUAUACUGUUGUUGAUUUAUUACUUUGGGUAUAUACCUAAAAAAUUGUCUGAUUUCAAUAGAUGCGACCCGUGCAUACUAAAACCCACCAACACACCUGUGCCUUCUGACCGUGGUCUGCAUGCAUUAUUUCUUUUUUAAGCAGAAUAUAGUCUGAAAAUUUCCCGUAAAGAUGUUAUAAUUAAAGGUAUAUAGUGUGGUAAUGGUUGAAAAAAAACAACAAUUAUUUGCGCCAUGUAUGACUCGCUUAUGGGUGUUGUUAUAACGUUGCUAAGCAACGCUAAAAAUCGCAAUAAGCGGGAAGUCUAUAGUUUACAUAACUUCAUUACUAACUUAUUUACAGCUUAAACAUACUAAUGGAGUGAAGUUAAGAUUCAAAUAUAAUUGCCGUUUUAAAUAUUGCAAUUAACAACGUUAAACGUCAAUUUAAUUUUUCGACGUCAUUUAUUUACAAAGUGAUCAAAUAUAUGACGUUCUUUAAAUAAGUAUAUCUCAAUAACUAACUCUUUGAUUUUAAAACAGUUUUCACCGUCAUAUUCAGAAAGAAAUUCUCUGCAAUAAUAAGUGAAAAACCAAAUUUCGAAAAAAAU